rnacentral:rRNA from 1 species
AAUACCGCAUAACGUCUUCGGACCAAAGAGGGGGACCUUCGGGCCUCUUGCCAUCGGAUGUGCCCAGAUGGGAUUAGCUAGUAGGUGGGGUAAUGGCUCACCUAGGCGACGAUCCCUAGCUGGUCUGAGAGGAUGACCAGCCACACUGGAACUGAGACACGGUCCAGACUCCUACGGGAGGCAGCAGUGGGGAAUAUUGCACAAUGGGCGCAAGCCUGAUGCAGCCAUGCCGCGUGUAUGAAGAAGGCCUUCGGGUUGU